rnacentral:rRNA from 1 species
AAUCAACGCUGGCGGCGUGCCUCAGACAUGCAAGUCGAACGAUUAAAGCUCCCUUCGGGGAGUGCAUAAAGUGGCGCACGGGUGAGUAACACGUAAGUAAUCUACCCUCGAGUGGGGAAUAACAACCGGAAACGGUUGCUAAUACCGCAUAAUGCAGCGGCACCGCAAGGUGACAGUUGUUAAAGGAGUAAUUCGCUUGAGGAGGAGCUUGCGGCAGAUUAGCUGUUGGUAAGGUAACGGCUUACCAAGGCUACGAUCUGUAUCCGGUCUAAGAGGACGGUCGGACACACUGACACUGAAUAACGGGUCAGACUCCUACGGGAGGCAGCAGUCGGAAUUUUGGGCAAUGGGCGAAAGCCUGACCCAGCAACGCCGCGUGAAGGAUGAAGUAUUUCGGUAUGUAAACUUCGAAAGAAU